UACGUAGGUGGCGAGCGUUGUCCGGAUUUACUGGGCGUAAAGGGCGUGCAGGCGGUUUGUUAAGUGCAGGGUGAAAGCUCCCGGCUCAACUGGGAGAGGUCCUUGCAUACUGGCGAACUCGAGGGAGGCAGAGGAAAGUGGAAUUCCCGGUGUAGUGGUGAUAUGCGUAGAUAUCGGGAGGAACACCUGUGGCGAAGGCGGCUUUCUGGGCCUUACCUGACGCUGAGACACGAAAGCGUGGGGAGCGAACCGG
rnacentral:rRNA from 1 species